CAUGGCCUUUUGAUUAUAAUUUAAGGUCUAAUCUGCCCACUGAGUAUUUAAAUGGCCGCGGUAUCUUGACCGUGCAAAGGUAGCAUAAUAAUUAGUUUCUUAAUUAGAAGCUGGAAUGAAAGAUUGAAUGAGAAAAUAACUGUCUCAAUUUAAUUUAAUUAGAAUUUUAUUUUUAAGUUAAAAAGCUUAAAUAUUUUUAAAAGACGAGAAGACCCUAUAGAGUUUUAUUUAAUUUUUAAUUAAAAAAAUAUAGUUUAAAUUAUUUUUUAAUUUAAAAUUAAAUUUUGUUGGGGUGAUAAAAAAAUUUAAUUAACUUUUUUUAAAUUUUAACAUUAAUUAAUGGCUAAUUGAUCCAAAAUUUUUGAUUAAAAGAUAAAAUUACCUUAGGGAUAACAGCGUAAUUUUUUUUAAGAGUUCUUAUCGAAAAAAAAGAUUGCGACCUCGAUGUUGGAUUAAAGUUUAAUUUUGGUGUAGAAGCUAAAUAUUUAGGUCUGUUCGACCUUUAAAACUUU
rnacentral:rRNA from 1 species